UACGUAGGGUGCAAGCGUUAAUCGGAAUUACUGGGCGUAAAGCGUGCGCAGGCGGCUUUGCAAGACAGAUGUGAAAUCCCCGGGCUCAACCCGGGAACUGCGUCCGAUACUGGCAGGCUUGGAAUUCGGGAGAGGGAUGCGGAAUUCCAGGUGUAGCGGUGAAAUGCGUAGAUAUCUGGAGGAACACCGGUGGCGAAGGCGGCAUCCUGGACCGAGAUUGACGCUGAGGCGCGAAAGCCAGGGGAGCAAAGCGGG
rnacentral:rRNA from 1 species